GACUGAUUGAAAGUCAGCCACAAGCACAGAGGAACCGCUGCAGAUUUUUUGCACAAGUGGCUUGAAGUCUCUAAUAAAUGUCAGCUGUGGAUGGCAGUUCCUGUUGACCACAGGGUGAUAGAACAGAAUUCAGCGUUACUCAGCAGUAUAAGUACAGGAAUAAUUUGCCAUCUGAGCAGCAGACUUCUGUGAACAGUUUAAUUGCAGCACCUGAAAAGCGAGGCAUAUGCAACACCAG